CCUACGGGUGGCAGCAGUGAGGAAUAUUGGUCAAUGGACGAGAGUCUGAACCAGCCAAGUAGCGUGAAGGAUGACUGCCCUAUGGGUUGUAAACUUCUUUUAUAAAGGAAUAAAACGAGGCACGUGUGCCUUUUUGCAUGUACUUUAUGAAUAAGGAUCGGCUAACUCCGUGCCAGCAGCCGCGGUAAUACGGAGGAUCCGAGCGUUAUCCGGAUUUAUUGGGUUUAAAGGGAGCGUAGAUGGGUUGUUAAGUCAGUUGUGAAAGUUUGCGGCUCAACCGUAAAAUUGCAAUUGAUACUGGCAGUCGUGAGUACAGUUGAGGUAAGCGGAAUUCGUGGUGUAGCGGUGAAAUGCUUAGAUAUCACGAAGAACCCCGAUUGCGAAGGCAGCUUACUAAACUGUGACUGACAUUGAUGCUCGAAAGUGUGGGUAUCAAACAGGAUUAGAGACCCUUGUAGUC
rnacentral:rRNA from 1 species